GGAGGCGCUUGCAGGGGCUCCCCCAGUUUUGCACUGUGAGCCCGGGCACAAAGAGCCCUCUGCACUCGCACCCGCAGGACCGCGGACCCCAGAUGUCCAGCGGCCUGUGUGGCUCCAAAGGGAUGGAGAAGGCUGGAAAGCCACCUUCGCUGAGAACAUGACAUUAGUAACGAUAAUAACAACACAUCCACCUUGGAGCGCUCACCCGAUGCUUGGUGCUUUGCAGGCAUUAUCCCAACAGUCCCAAGAGGUGCUGGAGGCAUUUCCCUGUUUACCCCUGUGGUUCCAGACACCUUCACAUGGCCGCCACGACCCUAAUCAUCAACGGAGUAAUCAAGCCCAGGGUCUGUCUUCAGAGCUCAGCGAGUUCCUGGGACAGAAGAGAGAGGACACUGCCAGCUUCCACAGGACGUUCCCUGCCACAUGGGAAGCAGCCUUGCAGAUAAGUAUUGAAACUGGCCUGCCCACGGCCGCCCAGCCUGUCCUCCCUUGCUCUGGGCAGGAGAGCAGAGGAGCCCAGUUUCCCUAAGUUGGGGGCGUGGAAUUGGGGAUACGAUUCUACUUUUCUCUAUGCCACAAGGAGAAACCUUGUCCCCCCUUUAUGGGGCCCCGGGAAGGGUAAUUUUCACACCCCACUUUUGGCACCAAGACUAGUAUUUUAUAAGGUCCACCAUCAGGAACUGCUGAUGAGUUUACUUUGUCUUGAAUACUUGUGGAUCUGGCAUGGGGACCCUGGGGUUCCCGGUGGUCCAGGAUGACCCUUCUCUUCUCGGUGCUGGCUUGCUGUCAUCCUAUUCACAAAAGCUGGCCUGGCAGGCAAGCGGGGACCUCAGCCCUGUGCUUGUGGGACACAUUCUCCUCAGUUCGAGGGCUGCUACAUCUCCAGCUUUGGCAUCUCCCUGCCCAUAGCAAGUCCCAGGUACCAACAGCAAGCUCUGAAAAUAGGCUGUGAGGGUCCCCGCGUAUCCUGGCCUUCAAAGGGUCCCUGCCCGCAGUUUGGUUCCCCAAACUUUGGCGCCUGAGGCCAUUAGGAAGAGGUAUGGGAUAAUGAGGUAGGGGGAAAACAACCCAGGCUGGGCUGAGUGCCCCUCCAACCUCCCAUCCAUGGUCUCAAACUGGGGUUACUGCUGUGCACCCUGGGUGAGUUUCAUGGCUGAAAGGUCUCCUGGCCCAGAGAUUAGACUCCCCAGGGUGACAGUGUGACAGAGCUGGGUGCGCAGCUCCAGUGCCUGCCUCUGCUCAAUGCUCUCAUUUGCUGUUGUCAAGCUCAGUUUGCUUUGCUUUCUCUUGGGUUACUUUCUAUUGCUGGGGAGCAGGGAGGUGGGUGAAGGGAGUCCCCGCUGCCCCUACAAGGACAUUCUGGGGAGGAUAUUCUGGGGAGGACAUUCUGGGGAGGAGAAGGGAGGUGUUGGUGUGCCCUGGCCCAGCCUCCCUGGCUCCUGGGCCUGCUUGUUAUCAGAGAGCUCUGGCCAGGUCUAGGGCCUGGGAGAGGCCUGGGUGCAGUUUGCUCCUGAGGCCUGGCUGGCUCUUGUCUUCCAGGAUGGGCCUGUGGGAUCCACAUGGGGAAGGAGCCAGGAGCUGAGCCUGGGCUGCAAGAUGUUGGCUGGAUGCUACCAGGGGCUGGGCCUGCCGCGGCUCCAGGACUCCUGGCUGGUCUCCUCUGACAACUCUGGAUUCUGGCCACGGCGGCACACGGAGCAGCCUUCAGCGGUUUUCUGGAACCCUGGACAAUUCCUCGAAGAUCUCAUCCUUCCCAACUCUGGGAUGGAGCCGCCUGUGGAUAAGAGCCUCCUCUGGUAGGCGCUCGGCCAAGAUAGGACCUGGUUCUGGAGGACAGCUGAGGGUGUGGGGGAGCCUGGCAUCCCCUGGACCCUGCCUGUCAGGCCUUCCGGUCUCGGCCUGGUGGCCCCUCCUGGCCCUGUGCGGACUGGAUUCCUUCUCGCCUCCCAGCCAGUGACCACACAGCCUGGGCCAAGGCCACACGGACUGCUCUUCCUCAAGGACGGGCCCCAGAGGCUCUGACAGGACAGGAGCAAGAACACUGGUUGCGAGUGGGAGGAUCCUCCCGGGAGGGAGGGCGGACGAAGCUCCGGGGUGGGCUGGCUGCAGUGUCUUGUGCUGUUUGCCCUGUGAGUGAUCUCAUUUCUGUGGGUGCCUUUUGGAUGGGGCUUUUCUGUGCUUCGCCUCUUCCUGAUGGUCCCUGGGAGGAGGCAGUGAGGGUCUGAGAGGUGCCUGGGUGUCCCCCCGUGGUGUGGAAGGAGGAGCAAGGGGUGUGUGGUCCUAAAAGGGCAGAAUUUGCAAGAGGUGAGGAGACCCAGGCCAGGGUAUCUUGCCAGGAGCCAGGCAUGGAGACUUCUUGGUCACCCAAAGAGAAUGGGCUGCAGCCAGCUUUACCCCAAGGCUUGAGGGGUGACCCAACCCCAUCUCACACUCUUGCUCCUUGUCACCCAGAUCCUUGAUUCUGUCUGGGGGCGGCAAAGCAGGCCCGCCCCACUCUCAGGCACCUUCUCCCUAGAUGGCUGACAUCACUUACACACCCACCGCUCCGUUCCCCAAAGUUCCAGCCCUGCCAGGCGAGAGUUUGCCUGCGAGGCCAUGGUCUUCCUUGGGCAAGUUUAAGAAUCCAACAUCCCAUUCCCAGCAUGAUGACGGAGUCUGUAUUAGUCAACACAGCUGCCACAGCAGAAAACCACAGCCAGGACACUUAAAUAGUAGAGGUGAAUUUUCUCACAGUAGUGGAGGCCGGAAGCCCAAGAUCAAGGCAGAGGGUGGGGUCCUCCUGAGGCCUCACGCCUGGCCUGCAGGUUUGCAGAGUACCUUUUUGAUAGGUCCUCACGUGGCCUAUGUGCAUUUUGGGGGGCAGGAGAGAGAGAGAGACAGAGAGAGAGAGACAGAUAGACAGACAGACUGACUGACUUAGAAUUGCUUCCUCUUAUAAGGACACCGCUCAUAUCUGAUGAGGGUGUCAGUGACCUUGAUUACCUCCUUAAACGUGCUGUCUCUAAAUGCAGUCAUAUGGGGGUUAUGGCUUCAUCCUGUGGAUUUGGGGUGGGAUGACAUUCAGCCAGUGAGAGGAGUGAGCACGGAAAGGGAAAGCACGGUGCCCUCACCCUUCAGGAUUUCCACCCCACAACGAGGGGAAGGGGGAGCAGAGAUAGAAGAAGCAGAAAUAGAGUGGGGAGUGCUGGGUCAGGGUGGCCUGCGAGAUUUGGGGACCCAGGGACUGGCUGGACACAGCGAGUGAGGAGGACCCCUCAGGAGAGGGGUGUCCCUGGGAAAACUGGACUUUGGAGCCUCAGGGCACACAGGCACCUCACCUCUAGGACCCAAUUUCCAUGCUGAAAGGGGAUCCCUGUGCAUGGGGUGGGGGGGUGGCACAGGUGGUACUGUUUCUGGCACAGUACCUGUCCCUUGGUAGGUACUCCAUAAAUGUGCCCCUGCCUCGGGAGUUUAGAGUUAGGGCUAAUCCAUUUCAGCGCUCUGGACUGUAAACCCAGGAUCUUUGAUCCAGGGGUGCUCCUGACUAGAUGCCCAUUUUCCUAGUGUCCCUUUCUAAUCAGCUUGGGGGAGUGGUAUCCAUAGUUACUCAAAAGGCUUCCUGGAGUAUGUCAACCCCACUUCUCUCCUUGUACAUGUGCUCUGGGCCCUUCCCUGGGCCAUGCUUCAGACCUUCAGGAUUUCACAACCAGGCCGAGGGGAGAAAACCUGCUCGUGUGGAGAACUAGAGAAUGGACCUAAAACACGCUGUUGAGGCACAGUGCUCAGGGAGGGAAUAAGGCCCCAGAGGAGGCUUAGCAGAGGUGGGGGGCGGGGGGUCUG